rnacentral:rRNA from 1 species
GGUGAGUAACACGUGGAUAACCUACCUGUAAGACUGGGAUAACUUCGGGAAACCGGAGCUAAUACCGGAUAAUAUUUUGAACCGCAUGGUUCAAAAGUGAAAGACGGUCUUGCUGUCACUUAUAGAUGGAUUCGCGCUGCAUUAGCUAGUUGGUAAGGUAACGGCUUACCAAGGCAACGAUGCAUAGCCGACCUGAGAGGGUGAUCGGCCACACUGGAACUGAGACACGGUCCAG